rnacentral:rRNA from 1 species
GACGAACCGUGCGAACGUUGUUCGGAAUCACUGGGCUUAAAGGGCGCGUAGGCGGGUCAGCAAGUCGGGGGUGAAAGCCCACAGCUCAACUGUGGAAGUGCCUUCGAUACUGCCGAUCUCGAGGGAGGUAGGGGCGUGCGGAACUUCCGGUGGAGCGGUGAAAUGCGUAGAUAUCGGAAGGAACACCGGUGGCGAAGGCGGCGCGCUGGACCUCUUCUGACGCUGAGGCGCGAAAGCUAGGGGAGCGAACGGG